rnacentral:lncRNA from 1 species
CGUGACCGUCCGCCUUCCCCGCCGCCCCGUCUUUGGGGCCGGCUCUGAAGGCCGCAUUAAUCCAGUCCUUCACGUCGAAGUCGUCAGCCAGGAACUUGGAGAAGUCCAUGGCGCUUUACUUGCCGCCCCGUCAGCGCACUCGCGCCGAGGCCGAAUGUCCCUCGUCGCGCGCCGUACUUCUUCCGGAAGUCGGUGCCUAUUACCAUAGCAACUGUUCCUGUUAGAGCAGCGAGCUUCGCGCAGUCCGGACAGGUACGACAGUUCGUUUUCUGCUCUUAUUUGUCGAGCAGUAAACUAAGUAAACGCGUGUUUCCUCAAGACUAGAAGAUUGACGUCUGAGAAGGGAGCAGCUGAGAAAUAUAAACUCUGUGAACAUGUCAUAAUUGAGAGAUGGCCCUCCAGUUUCUGAGGCAGAACCCGCAAGACUGGAUGCCAGUGUGACACACCAUUACAGAUCUUCUAACAAGCCCUGACGCAAAGCAGGCUCCAAGUAAGGGCUGUUCCACCCCAAAUUCAACCUGGAGCUCCCCAGACUUGAGAGCAAAGCCUCAAUGUGUUGGUUCAGGGUCUACUUCAUGCUACCAAAGAUCCCGGAACAUACUUUGUGUGGGUUGUCGAGCAACAGCGUCUGAGAUAUCACUGCUGGAGGCAUCAAAGGACUGAAUGCAGGGAGCUUGGAGCUGGAUGCCGGCUGCAGCUUCACUCGCAUUGACUAUGGGGGAAAUUGAACAUGUUAAUCCAGAAAGCCACCUCAUCAGUAAGGACACUCAGGCCAACAGCAACUUAAUCUCCCUCAAGAAAAUCACUUCAGGACACCCAUAUGGUCCCACAGAAGCCUUUCCUUCUGCCCACAGGAAUAUAUUUAAACUGUGGUUCCCAGUUGGCCUCUGAGAGGCGGCAUAAAAUGCCAGAGAAAAUCUUGGCCUGAGCUCUCAACCCGCCUCUUACGCUCUAUGCCCUUGGACACAACACUUAGAUCAAGCCUUGGCUUGACAACAAUGUAAAACAGUGACAGGCUACCACAUGGGUGAGAGGACACACAUAUCUAUUUCUGUCUUUGCUUGCUUGCUUAUAAGCCUAAGUAAUAAAAAGAGGACAUGCAACCCUGGAUACUAGUGGCCACAUUCAUGCUUUAUAGGGUCCAGGAGAGCCCAAAGAGAAAAG